rnacentral:rRNA from 1 species
UACGGGGGGGGCAAGCGUUGUUCGGAUUUACUGGGCGUAAAGCGCACGUAGGCGGAUCGUUAAGUCGGGGGUGAAAUCCUGGAGCUCAACUCCAGAACUGCCUUCGAUACUGGCGAUCUAGAGUCCGGAAGAGGUGAGUGGAACUCCUAGUGUAGAGGUGGAAUUCGUAGAUAUUAGGAAGAACACCAGUGGCGAAGGCGGCUCACUGGUCCGGUACUGACGCUGAGGUGCGAAAGCGUGGGGAGCAAACAGG